AAGCACCAGAAGAGUGUUUGGUGUGUGGACAGCUGGAGCACACUUGCUCUGGAACCUACUAUCAAGGAAUCUUGCCACAUUUCUGAGACUUCACAGCUCCUGAAGAGGGCUACGGAUGAAACCCCAGACCUUGCAUGUGCUAAUGACUGCAUUUUAAAAAGGAAGAAG